rnacentral:rRNA from 1 species
CCAAUGGCACUGCCCGGUAGCUAAAUGCGGAAGAGAUAAGUGCUGAAAGCAUCUAAGCACGAAACUUGCCCCGAGAUGAGUUCUCCCUGACUCCUUGAGAGUCCUGAAGGAACGUUGAAGACGACGACGUUGAUAGGCCGGGUGUGUAAGCGCAGCGAUGCGUUGAGCUAACCGGUACUAAUGAACCGUGAGGCUUAACCUUACAACGCCGAAGGUGUUU